UACGUAGGGGGCGAGCGUUGUCCGGAUUCAUUGGGCGUAAAGAGCUCGUAGGCGGCUUGGUAAGUCUGGUGUGAAAUCCCGAGGCUCAACCUCGGGCCUGCAGUGGGUACGGGCAGACUGGAGUGCGGUAGGGGAGAAUGGAAUUCCUGGUGUAGCGGUGGAAUGCGCAGAUAUCAGGAGGAACACCGAUGGCGAAGGCAGUUCUCUGGGCCGUAACUGACGCUGAGGAGCGAAAGCGUGGGGAGCGAACAGG
rnacentral:rRNA from 1 species